GCUCAUCUGUUGAAAAUAAAAUGUAGGGAAGGACAUGUUUAAUUUUCUGUCUCUGCUCUCAACUUUGAUUCUGUCCUACUCAAGGGUUCUAUAUGACAAGACAAAGAUACAAAAAGAUUCUCUACUUUUAAGGAGCUUAUUCUCUUAGUUACCAAGCAGGAACUUAUAGGAAAGUUGAAUUUUGAUUUAGUCAUACUAUCUAGGGCAGGGGUCUGCAAACCUUUUCUGUAAAGGGUCAGAUAGUAUUUUAGACUUUUUAGACCAUACUGUCUCUAUCACAACUACAGAGCUCUUCUGUUGUAGCAGAAAGGCAGCCAUAGAUAAUAUAGAAAGAAAUGGGUGUGGCUGUGUUCCAAUAAAGCUUUAUUUACAAAGAAGACAGUGGGCCGGGUUUGGCCCGGGGCAUAAUUUGCUGCUUGUGCUAGGGUAAGAUUAGCCAAAGUCUCCUGAUAGCAGGAAGGUGACUAGAGUUUCAAAGAGUCAGACUGUGGACUUUGCUGAGGUGCACUAUGUAAUAUUUCAAGAAAGGAAGUACAAGGGCAGGAAAAUAGUGAGUUUUCAGGGUGUUUGGUGAGCUCUGUCACAAUAUUUGUUGAAUAAAUGAAUGAAUGACUGAUACUCAAAUCUUAUUGCACAUAUAUAAGCAUUUCACUGAGAAAAUACUAAUGUUUUGUCUGGAUUAGUCCCAACCUGUUUGACCUUGACCACAGCUUCCUUGAUAGUGAAAUGAGGAUUCCAUCACUCUUAAUUAUCCGUGGCUAAAGUCAACCAAUUAUCCAGAACUUCCAUCUAGUGAAUCAUUUUAACUCUUCCAUUGCUGAAACUUUUACCAGAGUUGUGAUUCAAGAUGAGAAAACUGAGGCCCAGAAAAGUUGAGCAACUUGCCUGAGGUUACACAGAUACUGAGUGGCAGAGCUGAUAUUUGAACCUAUACAUUAUGUCUCCUUAGCCUAUAUCCUUAACCACUGGAUUAUCCAAAACACUAUGCCAGUAUUUCAGUCAGUUAAGUAUAUACUGAAUGUUCUUUACAUUGUGCUAGAAAUACAGAUAUAUGUCAUCA